UAGGGAAUCUUCCGCAAUGGACGCAAGUCUGACGGAGCAAUGCCGCGUGAGUGAUGAAGGUUUUCGGAUCGUAAAGCUCUGUUGCCAGGGAAGAAGAUUCAGGAGAGUAACUGCUCCUGGAGUGACGGUACCUGAGAAGAAAGCCCCGGCUAACUACGUGCCAGCAGCCGCGGUAAUACGUAGGGGGCAAGCGUUGUCCGGAAUUAUUGGGCGUAAAGCGCGCGCAGGCGGUCAUUUAAGUCUGGUGUUUAAUCCCGGGGCUCAACCCCGGGUCGCACUGGAAACUGGGUGACUUGAGUACAGAAGAGGAGAGUGGAAUUCCACGUGUAGCGGUGAAAUGCGUAGAUAUGUGGAGGAACACCAGUGGCGAAGGCGACUCUCUGGGCUGUAACUGACGCUGAGGCGCGAAAGCGUGGGGAGCAAACAG
rnacentral:rRNA from 1 species